GGGCGCAUGGCUCAGUGGUAGAGCGUUCGCUUCACAUGCGAAAGGUCGUAGGUUCGAUCCCUACUGCGCCCA
rnacentral:tRNA from 1 species